AUUGAACGCUAGCGGGAUGCUUUACACAUGCAAGUCGCACGAGUGGCGGACGGGCGAGUAAUAUAUCGGAAUGUGCCCAGUAGCGGGGGUUAACUACCCGAAAGAGUGGCCAAUACCGCACAUUCUUGGAGCGGCCGAUUUCGGAUUAGCUAGUUGGUGGGGUAAAGGCUCACCAAGGAAACGAUCCGGAGCUGGUUUGAGAGGAGGACCAGCCACACUGGGACUGAGACACGGCCCAGACUCCUACGGGAGGCAGCAGUGGGGAAUUUUGGAAAAUGGGGGAAACCCUGAUCCAGCCAUCCCGCGUGUAUGAGAAGGCCUUCGGGUUGUAAAGUACUUUUGGCAGAGAAACGGUAUCUGCAGAAUAAGCACCGGCUAACUACGUGCCAGCCGCGGCGGUAAUC
rnacentral:rRNA from 1 species